rnacentral:rRNA from 1 species
GUGAACGAGCGACGCCGCGUGCAGGAUGAAGGCCUUCGGGUUGUAAACUCCUGUCGAGGGGGAGGAAGGGGAAACCUUGACCGAUCCCUGGAGGAAGCACGGGCUAAGUUCGUGCCAGCAGCCGCGGUAAGACGAACCGUGCGAACGUUAUUCGGAAUCACUGGGCUUAAAGCGCGUGUAGGCGGAUGGGAACGUCGGAUACUGAAAGCCCCCGGCUCAACCGGGGAAGUGGUUCCGAAACGACCUGUCUGGAGGGACGUAGGGGGAUCUGGAACUUCCGGUGGAGCGGUGAAAUGCGUUGAGAUCGGAAGGAACGCCCGUGGCGAAAGCGAGGUCCUGGACGUCUGCUGACGCUGAGACGCGAAAGCUAGGGGAGCAAACGGGAUUAGAUACCCCGGUAGUCCUAGCCGUAAACGAU